rnacentral:rRNA from 1 species
AUUGAACGCUGGCGGCAGGCCUAACACCUGCAAGUCUAGCGAGCGGCGGACGAGUUAGUAAUGAAUGGGGAUCUGCCCGAUAGAUGAGGAUAACUACUGGAAACGGUACCUAAUACCGCAUACUCUCGGAUGACCCCCUAUGGGAUUAGCUAGUAGGUGGGGUAAAGGCUCACCUAGGCGACGAUCUCUAACUGGUCGGAGAGGAUGAUCAGCCGCACUGGGACUGAGACACGGACCAGACUCCUACGGGAGGAAGCAGUGGGGAAUAUUGCAAAAUGGGCGCAAGCCUGAUGCAGCCAUGCCGCGUGUAUGAAGAAGGCCUUAGGGUUUUAAAGUACUUUCAGCGGGGAGGCGUUACCCGCAGAAGAAGCACCGGCUAACUCCGUGCCAGCAGCCGCGGUAAUAC